GAGGGGUGCCUCCCCCCACUGCGAUGGGGGACCUAAGAGCAAGCGAGGGGAAGACGGGCUGGCUCCGGUAGAUUGUAAAUGACCUGCUUUCUUUCUUUUCCCGGGCUGCGUUCGGACCCCUGUCGAUUGUAAAUCCCAAGUAAGGUACCUGCCGUGGGCAGAUCUGAGCUUUCUUCUUGGACACCCCAUACCCACAGUCCUCCAGGCCACCCUUAAGUACAAUGUUCUCCUACCUAAGAAGGCAUCUGGAUUUUCUCUUUCCUUGGAAAUAGUAAAGAACUACUCUUUGACUGUUUUUGACCUCACAGUGAACCUCAA
rnacentral:lncRNA from 10 species